CUUUUGGCCUCAAGUGAUCUUCCCACCUUGGCCUCCUAAAGUUCUAGGAUUAUAGGCAUUAGCCACCAUGCAUGGGUGGGGAGUGGGCUCUGUGGCUAGUGAGUGCAUCGGAGGAGGCUUCCUGGAGGUGAAAGAAGAGACGGGCAGUAGUGGGCAGGUGAGACAUGUUCCUUUACUGUUGGGGGAAAUGCACCCACAGUGAAAGCAUGGCCGAGAACAUGGCGAGUACUUACAUAUGGCUCCGAACAAUAGUGGCAACAUGCCAUGGGAAAGCGUGAUCACAUGGGUUCACACAGGAGAUAACACCUUGGGUGCACAACCGUGCUGACUCAUGCCUCCCUGGAAGGCCGGCGGAAGACAUGCUGGCAAUUACUUUAGUUUGGCCUAAGAAACCUACUGCCCAUACAAAUGAAUUUCCCUUACAGCAUGGCCUCCAAUUUUGAAAAUUAGUAUAAAAAAUAUAGAAUGUUCCAUUAAUGACUUUUUGUAUUGAUUAUCUGUUGAAAUGAUAAUAUUUUAGAUAUGUUGGGCUAAAUAUAUUCUUAAAAUUAAUUUCACUUUUUUUUAAUGUGGCUACUAUACAAAUUGAAAUUAUAUGUAUGGGUCAUAUUAUAAUUUCUAUUGGACAGUGCCGAUCUAGGUCUUUGCUAUAAAAAUAAUAACGAAAAGCAAAAUGUAAGAACUACCACCAUAGAGGUACAUACACUGCCAGAAGGGCCGCUCUAAGUGUGGACGACCAGCAGCAGCACCACCUGGGAAUCUGUUAGGAAGGCAGAGUGUUAGGCCCCCCUUCCAGAUUGAAUUAGCAACUCUGAAGAAAGGCCCUGCAAUCUCUGCUUUAAAAAAAGACUCCAGGUGAUUCUGAUCUGACCAAAGUUUACAAGGUACUGCCCUAGGGGAGUACAGAGGAAUCAGUGACCAGUCUAGGUAGAGGAGGGGACCAUGUCAUCCACCACACUGGUGACGGAGAAGACGGAGGGCAGGGGAGACCACACAGAAAUGGUCCAGGCAUUUAGUAAGUUUGACAUAAAAAUAGUCAGAGGGGCCCACAGCAAAUCUCCAUCCCACUCGGCUUGGCUCCUCCAGAUGCUCUUUUCUGGAAACAAUGCCCUCUGGCCUGGUUGGGUCCCCUGCCCUUCGCACCUUUUUCAUCUAAAGCGUGCCAAGAACAAAUGGAAUCUAAAUGGUGUGCCUUUAGUGGAAUUAAUUUGCAUUUCUACAGCAUGACCUCCAUAGGCGUGUGCGCUAUUCCCGGUGAUGUGCUCACCGCCAGCUGGACGUGGUGCAGACCAGCAGCCCAGGUUCAGAGUAGAGUGCACGAGGAAAGCAGCAAGAGCUCAGCAGCCAGCCCCUGACAGAUGAAGCCCAAAUUUUGCCGUUGGUCUUCAUAGAGAGGGACAUGAGUCCAAAGAAGCCUCUGCAUUAUGGCGUGGGUAUGACACAUUGUGACUCAAGGGACUUGGUAAGCUCAGGCCCUAUUUCUUUCCCUGGGGGAACGGGCCGGGAUGGCUGGGAAGAAGGGGCUCCAUGGGACAUCAUCACUGUGGAGGACACUGUGGGUACAGAACAAACCCAUCCUCUGACAGAAGCCUGUCUUUGCUCUCUGCCCUCCCCACCCUCUGCCCUCCCCACCCUCUGCCCCAGGUUCCUUUUUAUUUAAAGCUUGUGUACUCGCAGCCAUCUUUGCUCAUAAUGACGGUAUCACCCCUAUGCACUGUGAAUUAUGCUGCAGAACUUCUGGGCCAGCAGCAAGGUUUCUCUUAUACUGUUUUCUGUAAAUACGAAUAGCCUUGGGUCUGGGGCCCUCAUCCCCCCCACAGCAGGAAGGGCGAGCAUCACAACAUCAGCAGUGACAGCCGCGUCAGGUUUGCUGGCAACAACACUAACAAUAUUAAUUAUAGAAGUGAUAGUUACAGUGGGGGUGGUGGUUAAGAAUGGUCAAAUAUUCAGCUGUCAGUAGUGCCAAAAGAAAA